AGCCCGCAACCAGCUGAGAUGCAAGACAGGCAUUUGGUUUGGUUUCGAAUCGUUUCUUCACUUUCGACGUUUCUGCACGUCUCACAAGAUCCGCGCUAAGAACGCGAAUGAAGAAAUGCCCUCCUGGCAACGAAUUUUCAAGUUUCAAAAGAAGAUCCGGGAGGCUGGUUCCCGAUUUUGCUCUGUCUAAAUUUGGCGUGCUUCGAUACUGCUCAGUAGGCGGGUUGGCGCGUCGCGCAAUUAUUGUUUUGGUUUGGUUUUGUUUGACUUACGGAUACCUUCAAUUAUUUGAACACGAAAUUUUGUUGAUAUUUUCCACGGUUUUGACGCGAGAUACAUUUUGAAUAAAUAAUAUGUUCGGAAGGUAGUUCAUGUGAAAAUUUGACGCACUUUUUAGUUGGUAGUGAGUACAUGAGCAACCAAAGUCAAAACGAUGAACCACGUUGGACAAAGUGAUGGGAAUAAUGGCUGAGUACUAUUGAGCACUCAUAACUUAGGUAUACAGAUAGAGGAAAAGAAAUCGUGUUCUUGUGAUGUUGAAAUGCUGCUAGGUGCUACUGACCGACCACCUUUCUUCAAUUGCGUAUCGAGGAAAAGAAUUGAAUGGGAGUGGCAAAAAUUGGCCAAGAUCUUAUACCAUUGCACUCUUAGAGUUCAAUCAAUUUCAACGCUCAUUAAUUCAAUGAUCACAUUUAGCAUUUUCUUGAGAGCAUGGGAGGGAUUUUCUUGAGAAAUUCAAAAUCUUGUGCCAGGGAAACUACGGAAGAACUGCCAAGAAGCUUUUGAUCGGUUCCAGAAAUGGUGCAGUGAACGAAAGAUACUCAACUUAACAAGCUACAAAGGAUUAUUAGUAUAUUUUAAGAAAGUAAGCAUAAUACAGGGUGGCCAUUUUCUGAAUAUUUGU